rnacentral:tRNA from 1 species
GUGUGCGUAAUUUAAAGAAAAUAUCAGACUGUGACUCUGACAAUAGGAAUUAACUCCUCACACAC